rnacentral:lncRNA from 1 species
CCAAGUUUAACAUAGAUUAGCACGAAAAAGAGUCAACACGGAAGACUGUUACAAAUUAGUGUCAUAUUAUCCAAACAUCUUAGAAGAAACAUUCUCAUCUGUAAUGAAUUAACCUAUUCCAUUGAAGCUCUACAGCCCCUGCUAGUCAAGUGACAUAUCCAACAUACUUGAUUGUGUUGUUCUUUGUCCUUUGCCACAAAUGCCUUCAAAUAAUCGUGAUGACUGUCAUGGUCAGCCGCAAGAUAAGAGGCAUGGUGCGAAAGCGGCGCAGUGAAUGGUGGGAGAUAGAGAGAGAACAGAGUCA